GACGAACGCUGGCGGCGUGCUUAACACAUGCAAGUCGAACGAUGAACCCGGAGCUUGCUCCGGUGGAUUAGUGGCGAACGGGUGAGCAACACGUGAGUAACCUGCCCUUGACUCUGGGAUAACUGCGGGAAACUGUAGCUAAUACCGGAUACGACCCUCGGCGGCAUCGCCAGGGGGUGGAAAGAAUUUCGGUCAAGGAUGGACUCGCGGCCUAUCAGCUAGUUGGUGAGGUAACGGCUCACCAAGGCGACGACGGGUAGCCGGCAUGAGAGGGUGACCGGCCACACUGGGACUGAGACACGGCCCAGACUCCUACGGGAGGCAGCAGUGGGGAAUAUUGCACAAUGGGCGCAAGCCUGAUGCAGCAACGCCGCGUGAGGGAUGACGGCCUUCGGGUUGUAAACCUCUUUUAGUAGGGAAGAAGCGAAAGUGACGGUACCUGCAGAAAAAGCACCGGCUAACUACGUGCCAGCAGCCGCGGUAA
rnacentral:rRNA from 1 species